rnacentral:rRNA from 1 species
GAUGAACGCUGGCGGCGUGCUUAACACUUGCAAGUCGAACGGGAUCCAAGGGGUGCUUGCACUUUUUGGUGAGAGUGGCGAACGGGUGAGUAACACGUGAGUAACCUGUCCUUUUCUUUGGGAUAAGCAUUCGAAAGGGUGUUUAAUACCUUAUGUUCUGUCUGCCUCGCAUGGGGUGGGUGGGAAAGGCUUUGGCCGGAUUUGGGUGGGCUCGCGGUCUAUCAGCUUGUUGGUGGGGUGAUGGCUUACCAAGGCUUUGACGGGUAGCCGGCCUGAGAGGGUGGUCGGUCACAUUGGGACUGAGAUACGGCCCAGACUCCUGCGGGAGGCAGCAGUGGGGGAUAUUGCACAAUGGGCGAAAGCCUGAUGCAGCGACGCCGCGUGGGGGAUGAAGGCCUGCGGGUUGUAAACUUCUUUUGCUCUGAACAAGGCAUGCCAGUGGGUGUGUUGAGUGUAGGGGUUGAUUAGCGCCGGCUAACUACGUG